rnacentral:rRNA from 1 species
GACGAACGCUGGCGGCGUGCCUAAUACAUGCAAGUCGAACGAACCGCGACUAAGUGCUUGCACUAAGUCACGGUGAGUGGCGAACGGGUGAGUAACACGUGGGUAACCUACCUCAUAGUGGGGGAUAACAGUCGGAAACGACUGCUAAUACCGCAUAGGACAUAGGAUCACAUGAUCCAGUGAGGAAAGGUGGCGCAAGCUAUCGCUACGAGAUGGACCCGCGGUGCAUUAGCUAGUUGGUAGGGUAAAGGCCUACCAAGGCGAUGAUGCAUAGCCGACCUGAGAGGGUGAUCGGCCACAUUGGGACUGAGACACGGCCCAAACUCCUACGGGAGGCAGCAGUAGGGAAUCUUCCGCAAUGGACGCAAGUCUGACGGAGCAACGCCGCGUGAGUGAAGAAGGUCUUCGGAUCGUAAAGCUCUGUUGUUAGAGAAGAACAGCGCAUAGAGUAACUGCUAUGCGUGUGACGGUAUCUAAACAGAAAGCCACGGCUAACUACGUG